CCUGACGUCCAACAUGGCCACAGCACUGGCUCCAGCCAAUUACUGCAGAAAUUCAAGAACCCAUGUGCGGGUCGCUGCCGUCUCCUCGGCCCUGGCCGCUGGAAGUGAGAGGCCGCACCAUCAUCAGGGCGGAGGGAAAGGAUACGUCAGAGAAAUCCUGGAGGCUUAUUGGAGUCGGAUCUCGGAGUGGGGAAGGAAGUUCAGGGGAAGAAACAGAAGGCUCCAGUUCAAGGCCUUACCCCCUACGGCCCUGCUGCAGGUCCCUCUUUGGAGAGGGGGCUUAAUGACAUCUGCCCCACAAACUCACAGAGUUGGCUUGCAAAGCCAGGGAGGUGGCGCCCAGGACAGUGCCUGGAGAGGCAUCAGACAGAGGUCUUUGGGAAUGCUGCACCGUUUUCAACAAGGGGCGUGAGCAUCUGCAGACUUGGGUGUCCACAGGGUCCUGGAGCCGAAGCCCUGCAGACACGGACGGCCCACGUGUAAUUCCUAGUGACAGAUAAGGACGUUGGCCCAGAGACGGGGAGAGUCAGCGGUAUUCAACUACCACACGAUACUUGGCAGCCGGUUUCAACAACUUCCGGAUGAAUGGAUGGACCACGGCCACCCCUCCAGGGAGCCGGCCACCGUGCCCCCCUGUGCGGACCUGCAUCGCUGCAGACAUGGCCAGUGGAUCCCCGCAUGCUCUCUGCCUCCCAGGCAGCCGCCUAGGAUCCCCAGGAGCUCAGAAGGAGGGAGGGAAUUUGGUUCAACUUCCCUGUUCCGUUGACCUGGAGGCCAGGGAAAGGCUGUGGGAGUCCGUGUGGAGCAGCUGGUCCACUCUGACCGCCUGCUCCGUCCGCCUGCCCAGAAGCUCCCGAGAAGGCCUCGUCCAGCUGGGCGGGCAGGGGCUGCCAGCGAAGGGCACAGCUGGGCCUCUGGCACGGGCUCCUCCCAGUGUCCCCUGCCUGCGCAAAGCCACAACGGGCACGCUGGCGAGAUCCCUGCUGCUCCUGCCCGCCCGCUCCGCACAGCUGCUCUUUUGAAAGCCCUGCAUGGGAAGCGGUUGAUGCGGCUCUCUGUUCCCUUUACAGACCAUUGUCCCCUCCUCGGCGCCAGCCUGCUCUUCCCUGGGUUGCUUAAUUAGCAGCAUUAUUAAUGCCCAGAGGAAAGUCACCAGAUCCUCUCUCACGGCAGCCCAGCUCGCAGGACAGCCACAGGCAGCCAGGAAGCCGGGUCCUGUGCCAGGAGGGCCCUCCCCAGCCCUGGGACCUUUCUUUGCCAAUACCCAGCUGGGGACCGCUUGGCCUGCCUCCCUGGGGCAACCACAAGGCCCCUGUGGGGGACAGGCAGGGAGGGGGACUUGUCGGGAGCCUGUCUGAGUCCCCCCAGGGGUGAUCAGCCCUCCUCUGAGCAAUGGGUGCAAGUUAAGUUUGGGGGGAGAGAGGUCAGGGCCCCAGCUGUGGGAUGAGCUCAGAGGGAACAGUCAAGUCCUCACCACUCCCAGGAGCAAGAGUAAAGGGAAAUGUGUCCAGGAGCUGUGUGACCUUGGGCCCACCUAACACCCUCUCUGUGCUGAGUUCCUUCUGUGUGUUCCAUGGACCUGGUCCUGGGCUAAGCCCUUCAUGUGCACAGACCCACCCUAUCUCCUUCUUCUAGAGACAGGUCCCCUGCUGCACUCCAGCAGCCUAAAACUUAGUGCCUUGAAUCACCCAUGAGGUUUCCCCUUGACUCCCUGCAGUGACCAAGAAGGUGGCUCCAAUAGGUGGAGGAGCAACCUGGGAAAAAUAGCUGGGGGUGGGAUAAAACCGCUCUUUCACAUGGUGACAAGCCGGGAGCCCCGCUGACCUCGCCCGAGGGUGGGGAUCCUCCGUUCCCUGUCCAGGGCCUGCUUGGUGGCCUGGGUAAAGGACGAGCAACCCGGGGGAACCAGGGACCAACGUGUGGCCCUUCUGUGACCUCA